AAUAAUUACCGAAGACUAAAUCAUGGAUGUAAUUUGAAUUUGCUACUGCAAUAAUUGAGUUCGUUAAACGCAUUUGUAACAUCCUAUGACAAGUAAACGGUUGGAACGUUCUGAGACCCGUACCGCUUGGAAGCGCAGAUCAAACCCCCGCAAGCAAGUGGAAGACACUCACCGACAAGAGGCUCGUGAGCGCCUAGGGAACCACAGCUUGUGCAGAUUUAUCGCCAUAUUGGAUUCUUCCCCGGAGCAUUGUUCCUAUUGAUGGAAUUGCACACAUACAUGUGUCUGCGAUUAGAUUCGUUAUUCAUGCUUUCUAACGACUGACAAAGUAAUUUAACCGACGGUCUUUUGUUUACAUUCUGAAUUUUUCGCCGUUUAAAAAAUAUUUUACUUCAUUUUGCGGUAUAAUCAAUAAAAGAUUGGUGGAGAGAGGAGUUUGUCGUGUAGUGGAAUUGGCUAGGGUGGGGAAAGUUGAAGGAAUUAAAAGGUGUAGUGUCAAGCAUGCAAGCAUCGUAGGCAGGUGGUGGUUACCAACUGUCACAAAGGUUUGUUUUCCGCAGUGGCGGUGUUCCGUAGGUGAAUAUUCAGUCGAAACCGCAUUGUGUAGAGGUACAUUAAAUUUGGCAUUUUUGUUGAUAUGAUAUAUUAUCAUCCGCGGAGUGUUCGGUGUCAAUCGUGUUUUAUUGGGUAAUUUUCAAAUGAUGACCUACGACUUUUAAACAGUAUAACGCAAUUGCCCUUUGCUGAUGAAAAAGACGUAGUGAUAAUUGAAUCAGUAUAAAUUAAGGGCCCCGCUUAAAAAUGUUUUCAAAGAAAAAAAAGAAACCCCAAAUUUCUAUGCCAAGCAAUUUUGAACAUCGCGUCCACACGGGUUUUGAUAAACGCGAGGGUCGUUAUGUAGGGCUUCCCCUGCAAUGGGCUUCGAUCGUAGGAAACAACCAAAUACUAAAGUCUUCAAAUCGUCCACUGCCACUAGUGGACCCGUCCGAAAUAACACCAACAGAAAUCUUGGAUUUAAAAACAAUUGUGCGUCCACACCAAAAUAACAACAAAACAGAUGAUUCAGGUUUAUGCUCAACCCAAUUAAACACAAUAGCCGGUAGCAAUGGCAUUAUACUACCCAAAAUAUCAAAUGUUGCUCGUUCAAAUUCUCUACGAAGUUCUUCGCCGCCGCGGGCGCGUCGAGAUUUGAAAGGAAAUGCAAACGUUCCGCCGGCUGUGCCGGAAGAGCCAGUACAAUAUUCAGGCAUGAAACGUGACGGCAUACUAGCGACAAAAACACCACCGCAGCAACAUAUGCAACUUAACGAUUGGAAUUUGCGAAAUCUGCAACAAAACAUCGUCCCUCCACCCAGUCAGUUUUAUACUGAGGGAACAACUUAUACCAGUAAGAAUAUGAAUGGAAAUGGGUUGUUAUCGAUCCACACAGAAAUGAAUUCAGCACAAUCCAGGCAACCACAAACCUCUCCUGCAGGUUCCAUUGCGAGUUCUGUUCGACAGCCCCAAUUUACUCCUUCCAGUCAAUCGCAGCAGCAUUCAAACAUAUCUGCUUCGCAUUCCCCCCACCCCUCGAACUAUAUAAAUCAAGGUAGGGGAUCUCAUCCGAAGCAAAAUCUUAAUUCACCACCAUCGCAUCGUCCUCUACCCUCAAUCAACCACGACCAGAAUCAUAAUGCCCAGUUGCAAUCCUAUCAAUCACUUUCACAACAUCACUCUCAUCUCCCUCCUCAGUCCUCAGCUCUUACUGGCAAUAGUUUGAAGGCAAAUUCGAGAGCGUCCACCUCAAGUGGAGGUAAUAAUUCGGUCAUUCAGAUAAAUGCGGCGAAUCCGUCAGUUCCACCGAAACAGGAUCAACGACUAACCCAUGAACAGUUUCGGGCAGCUCUGCAAAUGGUCGUUUCAGCAGGCGACCCCAGGGAAAAUUUAGAAAACUUUAUGAAGAUUGGCGAAGGAUCAACGGGAACCGUUUGUAUAGCAACAGACAGAUCAACAGGUCGACAAGUCGCCGUAAAGAAAAUGGAUCUUCGAAAGCAGCAAAGACGAGAACUUUUAUUCAACGAAGUAGUCAUCAUGCGUGAUUAUCAUCAUCCGAACAUUGUGGAAACAUAUUCCAGCUUUCUGGUUAAUGAUGAGCUUUGGGUAGUAAUGGAAUAUUUAGAAGGAGGUGCGCUUACAGAUAUUGUUACACAUUCUCGAAUGGAUGAGGAGCAAAUUGCAACAGUGUGUAAGCAAUGUUUGAAGGCGUUGGCAUACCUUCAUUCUCAGGGCGUGAUUCAUCGAGAUAUUAAAUCUGAUUCAAUUCUUCUGGCAGCUGAUGGGCGUGUUAAACUAUCAGAUUUUGGCUUUUGCGCUCAAGUAUCGCAAGAGCUUCCAAAGCGUAAAUCACUGGUUGGCACUCCAUACUGGAUGUCGCCAGAAGUGAUAUCGCGCCUUCCCUACGGCCCAGAAGUUGAUAUUUGGUCGUUGGGCAUAAUGGUUAUCGAAAUGGUUGACGGCGAACCACCUUUCUUCAAUGAACCACCGUUGCAAGCGAUGCGUCGCAUUCGUGACAUGCAACCACCGAACUUGAAAAAUGCUCAUAAAGUUUCACCUCGAUUGCAAGCUUUUCUUGAUCGAAUGUUAGUUCGCGAUCCUGCAGAACGAGCAACAGCAACCGAGCUUCUUGAUCAUCCAUUUCUACGACAGGCUGGGCCGCCAUCUCUGCUCGUGCCUCUAAUGCGCGGAACAAGGCAUACCUGAGCGGGGUAAUAUAGGACUAACUUAGAUGUUUUAGUUCUAUUUUGAGUUAAGAGGCAGUAAGAAGGUAACUUUUAGAAAGUAAAAGUUCAUAUACUGAGCAUUGGAAUAAACUUCUCUGCUUUUAUUUGAGAUAAUGUAAGUGUUAUCCCACGUAGCUAUAAUUUCUAAAAUUCUUGAUUAGAGAGAAGCAAAAUUGGUGAAUUGUACUUCGUUGUUGUACAAAUAACAAGAUGGGAUGAGGAAUUAGAAGAAAAAUAGGGGGGAUAUCCAUGUCAAAUAUUAUAGAAAUAUGAACUCAAGCGUAGUAUGUAUCUCUUCUUCCUUUCUCUCUGUCGUUUAUUAUUUUUGUGUUGUUACAGGGAGGUGACACAUACUUGCGUAAUGCGCCCUUUGGGUGGCAAUAUUAAUGAUGCAAAUUAUUGUUCCAAUGAAGGUAGUAUUAUGCGAUGAUUGGUAAUUGGAGAUAAAUAUAUAUUAAAAAAGAAAAACAGGACAGAAAAAUAACAUGAAUGUACGGUCAGUAGUCAUUCAUUAUUGUUAAUACAAGAAAGCCCCAAUCAAAUACGAGGAAAGAAAACGUUAGUAUAAUCAUAGAUAUAAUAUUUAAUAAUUACCAAAAUUACGAUUCUACUAUCAAAUUGCUUUUAAUAUUAGAUUAUCGGGCAUUUGACGCAAGCAAUAAAACGUCAUGUGUGGAAACACUGCUUUCAUUGGGCA
rnacentral:misc_RNA from 1 species